rnacentral:rRNA from 1 species
GAUGAACGCUGGCGGCGUGCUUAACACAUGCAAGUCGAACGGAAAGGCCGAAGCUUGCUUCGGUACUCGAGUGGCGAACGGGUGAGUAACACGUGGGUGAUCUGCCCUGUACUUCGGGAUAAGCUUGGGAAACUGGGUCUAAUACCGGAUAUGACGAUCUCUUGGAUGGGGUUGUGGAAAGCUUUUGCGGUAUGGGAUGAGCUCGCGGCCUAUCAGCUUGUUGGUGGGGUAAUGGCCUACCAAGGCGCCGACGGGUAGCCGGCCUGAGAGGGUGUACGGCCACAUUGGGACUGAGAUACGGCCCAGACUCCUACGGGAGGCAGCAGUGGGGAAUAUUGCACAAUGGGCGCAAGCCUGAGGCAGCGACGCCGCGUGGGGGAUGACGGCCUUCGGGUUGUAAACUCCUUUCGCAAUCGACGAAGCCUUUUGGUGACGGUAGGUUGAGAAGAAGCACCGGCUAACUACGUG